AGCAGCCGCGGUAAUUCCAGCUCCAAUAGCGUAUAUUAAAGUUGUUGCAGUUAAAAAGCUCGUAGUUGAAUUUCGGGAUCAGUUGAUCGGUCGUGCCUCGGUACGUACUGGUCAAAUUGAUUCCUACCUUCUGACGAACCACGAUGUCAUUAAUUUGGUGUCGUGGGAAAUCAGGACUGUUACUUUGAAAAAUUAGAGUGUUUAAAGCAGGCUCGCGCUUGAAUACAUUAGCAUGGAAUAAUGAAAUAGGACGUUUGAUUCUAUUUUGUUGGUUUCUAGGAUCGACGUAAUGAUUAAUAGGGAUAGUUGGGGGCAUUAGUAUUCAAUUGUCAGAGGUGAAAUUCUUGGAUUUAUUGAAGACUAACUACUGCGAAAGCAUUUGCCAAGGAUGUUUUCAUUAAUCAAGAACGAAAGUUAGGGGAUCGAAGACGAUCAGAUACCGUCGUAGUCUUAACCCAUAAACUAUGCCGACUAGGGAUCGGAUGAUGUUAAUUUUUUAAUGACUCAUUUCGGCGUACCG
rnacentral:rRNA from 1 species